ACAGAGGGUGCAAGCGUUAAUCGGAAUUACUGGGCGUAAAGCGCGCGUAGGUGGUUUGUUAAGUCGGAUGUGAAAUCCCAGGGCUCAACCUUGGAAUGGCACCCGAUACUGGCAAGCUAGAGUAUGGUAGAGGGGUGUGGAAUUUCCUGUGUAGCGGUGAAAUGCGUAGAUAUAGGAAGGAACAUCAGUGGCGAAGGCGACACCCUGGACUGAUACUGACACUGAGGUGCGAAAGCGUGGGGAGCAAACAGG
rnacentral:rRNA from 1 species